rnacentral:rRNA from 1 species
UACAGAGGUCCCAAGCGUUGUUCGGAUUCACUGGGCGUAAAGGGUGCGUAGGCGGUCGGGUAAGUCUGAUGUGAAAUCUCACAGCUUAACUGUGAAACUGCAUUGGAUACUAUCCGGCUCGAGGAAUGGAGGGGAGACUGGAAUACUUGGUGUAGCAGUGAAAUGCGUAGAGAUCGUAAGGAAGACCAGUGGCGAAGGCGAGUUUCUGGACAGUUACUGACGCUGAGGCACGAAGGCCAGGGGAGCAAACGGG